rnacentral:rRNA from 1 species
GGUAUGCUUCUUCGGAAGAGAGACCGGCGCACGGGUGCGUAACGCGUAUGCAAUCUACCUUUUACAGAGGGAUAGCCCAGAGAAAUUUGGAUUAAUACCUCAUAGUAUUAUUAAAUGGCAUCAUUUUAUAAUUAAAGUCACAACGGUAAAAGAUGAGCAUGCGUCCCAUUAGCUAGUUGGUAAGGUAACGGCUUACCAAGGCUACGAUGGGUAGGGGUCCUGAGAGGGAGAUCCCCCACACUGGUACUGAGACACGGACCAGACUCCUACGGGAGGCAGCAGUGAGGAAUAUUGGACAAUGGGCGCAAGCCUGAUCCAGCCAUGCCGCGUGCAGGAUGACGGUCCUAUGGAUUGUAAACUGCUUUUAUACAGGAAGAAACCCUGGUUCGUGAACCAGCUUGACGGUACUGUAAGAAUAAGGAUCGGCUAACUCCGUGCCAGCAGCCGCGGUAAUACGGAGGAUCCAAGCGUUAUCCGGAAUCAUUGGGUUUAAAGGGUCCGUAGGCGGUUUAAUAAGUCAGUGGUGAAAGCCCAUCGCUCAACGGUGGAACGGCCAUUGAUACUGUUAAACUUGAAUUUAUUAGGAAGUAACUAGAAUAUGUAGUGUAGCGGUGAAAUGCUUAGAGAUUACAUGGAAUACCAAUUGCGAAGGCAGGUUACUACUAAUAGAUUGACGCUGAUGGACGAAAGCGUGGGUAGCGAACAGGAUUAGAUACCCUGGUAGUCCACGCCGUAAACGAUGGAUACUAGCUGUUGGGAGCAAUCUCAGUGGCUAAGCGAAAGUGAUAAGUAUCCCACCUGGGGAGUACGUUCGCAAGAAUGAAACUCAAAGGAAUUGACGGGGGCCCGCACAAGCGGUGGAGCAUGUGGUUUAAUUCGAUGAUACGCGAGGAACCUUACCAAGGCUUAAAUGUAGUUUGACCGAUUUGGAAACAGAUUUUUCGCAAGACAAAUUACAAGGUGCUGCAUGGUUGUCGUCAGCUCGUGCCGUGAGGUGUCAGGUUAAGUCCUAUAACGAGCGCAACCCCUGUUGUUAGUUGCCAGCGAGUCAUGUCGGGAACUCUAACAAGACUGCCAGUGCAAACUGUGAGGAAGGUGGGGAUGACGUCAAAUCAUCUGUGCCCUUACGCCUUGGGG